GACGAACGCUGGCGGCGUGCUUAACACAUGCAAGUCGAACGAAGUGGCGAACGGGUGAGGAAUACGUGGGUAACCUGCCCUCCUUUUUGGGAUAAGCCUUGGAAACGGGGUCUAAUACCGAAUAUAGGGGGAUGGGCUCGCGGCCUAUCAGCUUGUGGGUGGGGUGAUGGCCUACCAAGGCGGUGACGGUUAGCCGGCCUGAGAGGGUGAAUGGCGACAUUGGGACUGAGAAACGGCCCAGACUCCGACGGGUGGCAGCAGUGGGGGAUAUUGCACGAUGGGCGAAAGCCUGAUGCAGCGACGCCGCGUGGGGGAUGAAGGCUUUCGAGUUGUAAACCUCUUUCGCUAUCGAACGAGUAGGUGGAGAAGAAGUGACGGCUAAAUACGUGCCAGCAGCCGCGGUAAUUC
rnacentral:rRNA from 1 species